rnacentral:rRNA from 1 species
CCUACGGGUGGCAGCAGUGGGGAAUAUUGCACAAUGGGGGAAACCCUGAUGCAGCAACGCCGCGUGAGUGAAGAAGGUUUUCGGAUCGUAAACUUCUGUUCUUAGGGAAGAAUAUUGCCGUAAGCUACGGAGCAAGCCCCGGCUAACUACGUGCCAGCAGCCGCGGAAAUACGUAGGUGGCAAGCGUUGUCCGGAAUUACUGGGUGUAAAGGGAGCGCAGGCGGGAAGCCAAGUCAGCUGUGAAACCCACGGUCGCAACUGGGGGACUGCAGUGGAAACUGGAUGUCUGGAGUGAAGUAGAGGGUGGCGGAAUUCCAAGUGUAGCGGUGAAAUGCGGAGAUAUUUGGAGGAACACCGGUGGCGAAGGCGGCCAACUGGGCUGUAACUGACGCUGAGGCGCGAAAGCGUGGGGAGCAAACAGGAUUAGAUACCCGAGUAGUC